AUCUCUCAUUUCAUAAUCCAUGAACGUUUGAAUAUUGUCAUUUUAAAGACAGAAGGUUAGCCGAGGUCAGAGUUUACAAAUUUCAUUAAAGAUGGGCGUGGCGUUAUCAUUUUUCUGCCAAGAAGCUGAGCAGUUAUUGAGUAUUUAUGAUUCUCUAGUACCUAGAGGUAUUGUAGCCUCGAUCCCAGGCUGCAUGCACUUUUCUCAAGGCCUAUGAGGAGGCUAGGAGUAUUGUAGCCAUGCUUACGUACGUAGGUAUCCACUCAAUAUUGUUGACAGGAUUGUCUUCUUUCAAAUCAGAUGCAGAGGCACGUACAUACCCUUGGCUCAAUUGAGAAACUGAUGGUGGAGUCAGUGGAUCCCGUCGGACAUUAAUUAAACCCCCUCAUCGACAGUUCACUGUUUCUAUCACCACACCCUGCAUGUUUAUCAUUAAUGUUAUAAAUUAUCUCUGUUAUAAUUACACAUUUGCCUUCACGAGAACAAUUCUGUAUGGUGUUGCGUUGCAGCUACUUGUAUGUCAAGAAAUGAUUCA